rnacentral:rRNA from 1 species
GAUGAACGCUGGCGGCGUGCCUAAUACAUGCAAGCCGAGCGAACGGACGAGAAGCUUGCUUCUCUGAUGUUAGCGGCGGACGGGUGAGUAACACGUGGAUAACCUACCUAUAAGACUGGGAUAACUUCGGGAAACCGGAGCUAAUACCGGAUAAUAUUUUGAACCGCAUGGUUCAAAAGUGAAAGACGGUCUUGCUGUCACUUAUAGAUGGAUCCGCGCUGCAUUAGCUAGUUGGUAAGGUAACGGCUUACCAAGGCAACGAUGCAUAGCCGACCUGAGAGGGUGAUCGGCCACACUGGAACUGGGACACGGUCCAGACUCCUACGGGAGGCAGCAGUAGGGAAUCUUCCGCAAUGGGCGAAAACCUGACGGAGCAACGCCGCGUGAGUGGUGAAGGUCUUCGGAUCGUAAAACUCUGUUAUUAGGGAAGAACAUAUGUGUAAGUAACUGUGCACAUCUUGACGGUACCUAAUCAGAAAGCCACGGCUAACUACGUG